UUUCAAGUCCUGUAUCAGCCAUUAUUGAUAAUUUUCUAUUAUUAAUACAGUGACGGCAAAUGUGAUUUUGGAAGAGAGACUGAAUGGGGAAGUGCUGCUGGGAAAAAUGGGAGGCUUCAGGACAUUUUCUGAGAUUCUUGUAGUAAAUGGAAACCAAUGGAUUCUUUUGAACACUUGAGCAGAAAGUGUGACCAGUUCCACCUGAGCAGUACCUGGGUCAUCCUCCACAUUAGAUGUGCACAUAUAUGUUUAAAAUAAAAAACACACAAAACUACUCAGCACCAGAAGAAAGUAUAUGGCUGCACUAGAGGAAUUUUGGACAUUUACCAAUGUUGCUUUUCAGAUUUGAAUUACAUGAGAGGAUUGAGAUGUUGUGGGCUGUGCAGGAAAUAAAAGAACAGUUGUGGAUAUGGCUGGAAAAUGUGGAAAUUCCCAUCUCCUCAUUUCAGGAAUCACCUGGUAUUGAGCAAGGAGACAGACACCAAGUAGCUCAGCUCCAUCUGAUGUGA
rnacentral:lncRNA from 1 species